GACGAACGCUGGCGGCGUGCCUAAUACAUGCAAGUAGAACGCUGAAGGAGGAGCUUGCUUCUCUGGAUGAGUUGCGAACGGGUGAGUAACGCGUAGGUAACCUGCCUGGUAGCGGGGGAUAACUAUUGGAAACGAUAGCUAAUACCGCAUAAUAGCAGUUGUUGCAUGACAACUGUUUGAAAGGUGCAAUUGCACCACUACCAGAUGGACCUGCGUUGUAUUAGCUAGUUGGUGGGGUAACGGCUCACCAAGGCGACGAUACAUAGCCGACCUGAGAGGGUGAUCGGCCACACUGGGACUGAGACACGGCCCAGACUCCUACGGGAGGCAGCAGUAGGGAAGCGUCGGCAAUGGACGGAAGUCUGACCGAGCAACGCCGCGUGAGUGAAGAAGGUUUUCGGAUCGUAAAGCUCUGUUGUAAGAGAAGAACGAGUGUGAGAGUGGAAAGUUCGCACUGUGACGGUAUCUUACCAGAAAGGGACGGCUAACUACGUG
rnacentral:rRNA from 1 species